rnacentral:rRNA from 1 species
AGAGUUUGAUCCUGGCUCAGGAUGAACGUUGGCGGCGUGCCUAACACAUGCAAGUCGAACGGAGAGAGCAAUCUCUGAGUGGCGCACGGGUGAGUAACACGUAGCUUACCUACCCUAAAGAGCGGGAUAACGUUCCGAAAGGAAUGCUAAUACCGCAUAAGCUCACGAUCUACAGAGGGUUGUGAGAAAAGGAGCAAUCCGCUUUAGGAUGGGGCUGCGGCCCAUCAGCUAGUUGGUGCGGUAACGGCGCACCAAGGCGACGACGGGUAGGGGGCCUGAGAGGGUGAACCCCCACACUGGGACUGAGACACGGCCCAGACUCCUACGGGAGGCAGCAGUGAGGAAUAUUGCACAAUGGGCGAAAGCCUGAUGCAGCGACGCCGCGUGGGUGAAGAAGGUCUUCGGAUCGUAAAGCCCUUUUCUGCGUGACGAGCAAGGACGGUAGCGCAGGAAUAAGUCUCGGCUAACUACGUGCCAGCAGCCGCGGUAAAACGUAGGAGACGAACGUUAUCCGGAGUUACUGGGCGUAAAGGGCGUGCAGGCGGUAUCUUAAGUUCGUCGUGAAAUCGCCCGGCUUAACCGGGCGCGGUCGAUGGAUACUGGGAAACUAGAGGACGGUAGAGGCGUGUGGAAUUCCGGGUGUAGUGGUGAAAUGCGUAGAUAUCCGGAGGAACACCAGUGGCGAAGGCGACACGCUGGGCCGUACCUGACGCUAAGACGCGACAGCAUGGGGAGCGAACGGGAUUAGAAACCCCGGUAGUCCAUGCCGUAAACGAUGCCAAUUGGGUGUUCGUCUCCCGCAAGGGAGGGGGGUACCGAAGCAAACGCGAUAAGUUGGCCGCCUGGGGAGUACGGUCGCAAGGCUAAAACUCAAAGGAAUUGACGG